CAGCAGUCGCCGCGGGAAUACGUAGGUGGCAAGCGUUGUCCGGAAUUAUUGGGCGUAAAGGGCUCGCAGGCGGUUUCUUAAGUCUGAUGUGAAAGCCCCCGGCUCAACCGGGGAGGGUCAUUGGAAACUGGGAAACUUGAGUGCAGAAGAGGAGAGUGGAAUUCCACGUGUAGCGGUGAAAUGCGUAGAGAUGUGGAGGAACACCAGUGGCGAAGGCUACUCUCUGGUCUGUAACUGACGCUGAGGAGCGAAAGCGUGGGGAGCGAACAGGAUUAGAUACCCCUGUAGUCCCUGUCUCUUAUAC
rnacentral:rRNA from 1 species